rnacentral:lncRNA from 1 species
CCUUUUUUUUGUUGGUGAAAUACAUCAUAGCUAUUGUAUUUGUAUAUGUUUGUGGAUUUAAGUUAAAUCAAGCUUCUUAAAAGCUAAAUUCUUGAGGAAAUCUGGAUUGUAUUUCUUUUGAUUUGAUGUUGCCAUUAUAAGUGAUUUUAUAAAUUUAAAACUGACAAAUCGAGCUGAAUUAAUUCAGUUUAAUUUAAUAUUCAGUUGGAUUUGGUAUAUAUUUUUAAUGAGUUCAGUUUAUUUGGCUUUUCAAAAUUUUAAACCAAAUCGAAUCAAACAUGCUCACCCCUAGUUAUAUUAGUGAAGAUGGCAGCAAAUUACUGUUUACAAUCAACACUAACUUCCUAUCAUAACAUUAAAUACAAAGAAAAAUAAAACAAUAGAAACCAGGAGAGACUCCCGUCUAGCUCAAGCUGCCCAGCAAAAGCUGCCUUAAAAGAAAACUAACCCUCCAUCCCUUUUCUGAAGUGCUUUAUUUAGUCAUGAGUAUUCGUGGCCCUUCAGCUCAAUGUUCCCUUUUGAUUGCCUUCUGUGAAUUUCUCCCAACUGCAUAACCUCCAAUUUUGUCUUUUUCUCCAGCCUCACCUUUGGGCUCUUCCAUUACAUUUUCCACAAAUUCUUUUUCCCUCACAUUCCUUGUAUAAUAGAUUCUUCCAUUACAUUUUCCACAAAUUCUUUUUCCCUCACAUUCCUUGUAUAAUAGAUUUUCACCGUCUUUGGAUCAUGGCCUAUACUUUCGGAGGCCUUGGUUGGGAUACUUCUAUCAGUAUACCACUAGCAAUGGAUAAUCUUAUAAUGGGAGAAAAAUAGCUCUUUUAUACAUUUUCCUUCCAUAGCUGAAACUCUUACAUAUGUUGCUUGUUAUUUUCUCCUGUCCAUCUUUCUUUUGUUUCUUUCUAAAAAUCAAGGGACACUAGAAGUUGUCAUACUUGAAUUUAAUUUUUGGAGUACUUGUUUAAU